UCACUUAGCCAUAUUUAAUUCUGCUAAAUUCCUACUUUUUAACAACAACGAGAUCAAAUCGUAUUUUUCUGAAACUCAUUACAGAGAGAACACGAUUCGAAAUUCUGCCAAAAUAUUUGUCUUCCUUUCGACGAAAAUCGAGAUAACGAGUCGAGAGUUGUUUCGUACCUUAAUAAGCGCGAUGUCAUUCAGUAGUAUGAAUUUAUCAAAAUCUUCGUGCACGACAAUGCUGGCCACUUCCAAUUCAUCUCCUCCGACAGAAAGCGUGGACGUGCGUGCCCGCACAGUCACCGUGGACGGUUCCGAGC